AGACUAGUAGUAGUAGUGGUCUAGUGACUAGUGUGACUGUGCGGUGUAUGAAUCUUCAAUCUAAUCUAAAAUAUAAGUUUAAGUGAAUUUCUUGGGAGUCGAACACUUAGUCUUAGUGAGGUUGUGACAGAGACUCGCGUGAGGUUUGUGGGACAUGUUCUCCGACAAAAUGAACUACGCAUACCAAGAGUUGCGAUGACAUGGAGGCCAAUACGAGGAAAGCGCAAACAGGGACGUCUUCUUAUAACUCGGCGCCACACUUUCAUGGAGGACCCCAGAGCAAUGGAUACCAGGUGGGAAGAGACUUCAGACAUUAUCAGUGACAGAUCUUUAUGGAAACAGCUUGCGCUCAAUGCGCCAAACGGCGCUGGAGGAUUUAAUUAAGUUUAAGUAGGCCUAACUCUAGUUUCUUACUUUGUGUUUUUGUAAUAGACUAUAGACUAAAUUAUUGUUUAGACAACUUGA